rnacentral:rRNA from 1 species
CGGGGGGCUGCAGUAAGGAAUAUUGCGCAAUGGGCGAAAGCCUGACGCAGCGACGCCGCGUGGGGGAUGAAGGUCUUCGGAUUGUAAACCCCUUUCGGGAGGGAAGAUGGAGCGAGCAAUCGUUCGGACGGUACCUCCAGAAGCAGCCACGGCCAACUUCGUGCCAGCAGCCGCGGUAAUACGAAGGUGGCAAGCGUUGUUCGGAUUCACUGGGCGUACAGGGUGUGUAGGCGGUUUGGUAAGCCUUCUGUUAAAGCUUCGGGCCCAACCCGGAAAGCGCAGAGGGUACUGCCAGGCUAGAGGGUGGGAGAGGAGCGCGGAAUUCCCGGUGUAGCGGUGAAAUGCGUAGAGAUCGGGAGGAAGGCCGGUGGCGAAGGCGGCGCUCUGGAACAUACCUGACGCUGAGACACGAAAGCGUGGGGAGCAAACAGGAUUAGAUACCCUGGUAGUC